rnacentral:rRNA from 1 species
GACGAACGCUGGCGGCGUGCCUAAUACAUGCAAGUAGAACGCUGAAGGAGGAGCUUGCUCUUCUGGAUGGGUUGCGAACGGGUGAGUAACGCGUAGGUAACCUGCCUGGUAGCGGGGGAUAACUAUUGGAAACGAUAGCUAAUACCGCAUAAGAGUAGAUGUUGCAUGACAUUUACUUAAAAGGUGCAAUUGCAUCACUACCAGAUGGACCUGCGUUGUAUUAGCUAGUUGGUGGGGUAACGGCUUACCAAGGCGACGAUACAUAGCCGACCUGAGAGGGUGAUCGGCCACACUGGGACUGAGACACGGCCCAGACUCUUACGGGAGGCAGCAGUAGGGAAUCUUCGGCAAUGGACGGAAGUCUGACCGAGCAACGCCGCGUGAGUGAAGAAGGUUUUCGGAUCGUAAAGCUCUGUUGUAAGAGAAGAACGAGUGUGAGAGUGGAAAGUUCACACUGUGACGGUAUCUUACCAGAAAGGGACGGCUAACUACGUG